rnacentral:misc_RNA from 1 species
UACAGAGGGUGCGAGCGUUAAUCGGAUUUACUGGGCGUAAAGCGCGCGUAGGCGGCUUUUUAAGUCGGAUGUGAAAUCCCCGAGCUUAACUGGGGAAUUGCAUUGGAAACUGGGAAGCUAGAGUAUGGGAGAGGAUGGUGGAAUUCCAGGUGUAGCGGUGAAAUGCGUAGAGAUAUGGAGGAAUACCGAUGGCGAAGGCAGCCCUCUGGCCUAAUACUGACGCUGAGGUACGAAAGCGUGGGUAUCAAACAGG